CCUACGGGUGGCAGCAGUGGGGGAUAUUGCACAAUGGGGGGAACCCUGAUGCAGCGACGCCGCGUGGGUGAAGGAGUGCUUCGGCAUGUAAAGCCCUAUCGGCAGGGAAGAAGCAAUACGCUACCUGACUAAGAAGCCUCGGCUAAAUACGUGCCAGCAGCCGCGGUAAUACGUAGGGGGCGAGCGUUCUCCGGAUGCACUGGGUGUAAAGGGAGCGUAGACGGGCAAGCAAGCCAGGGGGGAAAGCCCGGGGGUCAACCCCGGGACUGCCCUUGGAACUGCAUGGCUGGAGUGCGGGAAGGGCAAGCGGAAUUCCUGGUGUAGCGGUGAAAUGCGUAGAUAUCAGGAGGAACACCGGCGGCGAAGGCGGCCGGCUGGACCGCGACUGACGUUGAGGCUCGAAAGCGUGGGGAGCGAACAGGAUUAGAUACCCGGGUAGUC
rnacentral:rRNA from 1 species